AUUGAACGCUGGCGGCAUGCCUUACACAUGCAAGUCGAACGGCAGCAUGAUCUAGCUUGCUAGAUUGAUGGCGAGUGGCGAACGGGUGAGUAAUACAUCGGAACGUGCCCUGUAGUGGGGGAUAACUAGUCGAAAGAUUAGCUAAUACCGCAUACGACCUGAGGGUGAAAGUGGGGGACCGCAAGGCCUCAUGCUAUAGGAGCGGCCGAUGUCUGAUUAGCUAGUUGGUGAGGUAAAGGCUCACCAAGGCUACGAUCAGUAGCUGGGCUGAGAGGACGAUCAGCCAAACUGGGACUGCGACACGGCCCAGACUCCUACGGGAGGCAGCAGUGGGGAAUUUUGGACAAUGGGGGCAACCCUGAUCCAGCAAUGCCGCGUGUGUGAAGAAGGCCUUCGGGUUGUAAAGCACUUUGUCCGGAAAGAAAUCGCACUUACUAAUAUUAGGUGUGGAUGACGGUACCGGAAGAAUAAGGACCGGCUAACUACGUGCCAGCCGCCGCAGUAACAC
rnacentral:rRNA from 1 species